ensembl:lncRNA
GUUAUCAUUAGCCUGGGUACCAGUCUCUUAGUUAGGCUAGGUCCAAGGUUAUCAUUAGCCUGGGUACCAGUCUCUUAGUUAGGCUAGGUCCAAGGUUAUCAUUAGCCUGGGUACCAGUCUCUUAGUUAGGCUAGGUCCAAGGUCAUCAUUAGCCUGGGUAACAGUCUCUUAGUUAGGGUAGGUCCAAGGUCAUCAUUAGCCUGGGUACCAGUCUCUUAGUUAGGCUAGUUCCAAGGUUAUCAUUAGCCUGAGUACCAGCCUCUAGAGAAUCCACUCCCUAUACACAAAUCAAAUCAACAUAUUAAUUGUCACGUACAUGUUGUCAUGUGCCAAAUAUGGUAAUGGCAAGGAGUAGAAUGUUAGCUAAGAGACUGGUACUCAGACUAGGUUAUUAUGACAGUUCUAUGUUCCAUUAUAGAACAGUUGGGGUGAAUGUUCUUUGGAUUCCAUGUUCCUAGCCUAGGUGAUAGAUCUACAGUAUCUUUUCCUUGAAGUAUCUUUCCCCCAACAGGAAGAAUGCCUUUCAGUAUAGAUAGUCAGCGUAAACUGAUAAUGGCCCUUUGGACUGGGACCCUAUUCUCCCAGGGUUUCGAGAGCCCAAAACAAAACUGUGUAGCCUAUUUCACACAACAACAGAUUUGAUGGACGGAUCGUCAAUUCGGUUAAUUGCAAACAGGAAACUAAAUGUGAUAAAUGUAGUCACAUUAAAACAAAUGUAAAGCUUUUAGAGGAACCAAUAUCUCCAGAGGAAAACCAGCACGAGAGAAGAGAGGUUGAAAGCAACGAGCACGAGGUUUUCUCCCAGUCUCAGACUACCGAUGAAACUUCCCAUCCUCCGUCCCACACUGAACCAUCAGAGAGGUAGACUCUACAAAGCAGGAUCAAUGAGUUAGCCAGCUAACUUUGACAAGCAACCAGAGGGGUAGACUCUACAAAGCAGGAUCAAUGAGUUAGCCAGCUAACUUUGACAAGCAACCAGAGGGGUAGACUCUACAAAGCAGGAUCAAUGAGUUAGCCAGCUAACUUUGACAAGCAACCAGAGGGGUAGACUCUACAAAGCAGGAUCAAUGAUUUAGCCAGCUAACUUUGACAAGCAACGAGAGGGGUAGACUCUACAAAGCAGGAUCAAUGAGUUAGCCAGCUAACUUUGACAAGCAACCAGAGGGGUAGACUCUACAAAGCAUGAUCAAUGAGUUAGCCAGCUAACUUUGACAAGCAACCAGAGGGGUAGACUCUACAAAGCAUGAUCAAUGAGUUAGCCAGCUAACUUUGACAAGAAACCAGAGGGGUAGACUCUACAAAGCAGGAUGAAUGAGUUAGCCAGCUAACUUUGACAAGCAACCAGAGGGGUAGACACUACAAAGCAUGAUCAAUGAGUUAGCCAGCUAACUUUGACAAGCAACCAGAGAGGUAGACUCUACAAAGCAGGAUGAAUGAGUUAGCCAGCUAACUUUGACAAGCAACCAGAGGGGUAGACUCUACAAAGCAGGAUCAAUGAGUUAGCCAGCUAACUUUGACAAGCAACCAGAGGGGUAGACUCUACAAAGCAUGAUCAAUGAGUUAGCCAGCUAACUUUGACAAGCAACCAGAGGGGUAGACUCUACAAAGCAUGAUCAAUGAGUUAGCCAGCUAACUUUGACAAGCAACCAGAGGGGUAGACACUACAAAGCAGGAUCAAUGAGUUAGCCAGGCCUAAAGCACUGCAGUGUUUUUUAUACAACAGAACAGAAACACAGCCUUUCCGAUGGCAACACCUUGUGCAUGACCAAAUAGACUGGCAACACCUUGUGCAUGACCAAAUAGACUGGCAACACCUUGUGCAUGACCAAAUAGACUGGCAACACCUUGUGCAUGACCAAAUAGACUGGCAACACCUUGUGCAUGACCAAAUAGACUGGCAACACCGGGUGCAUGACCAAAUAGACUGGCAACACCUUGUGCAUGACCAAAUAGACUGGCAACACCUUGUGCAUGACCAAAUAGACUGGCAACACCGGGUGCAUGACCAAAUAGACUGGCAACACCGGGUGCAUGACCAAAUAGACUGGCAACACCGGGUGCAUGACCAAAU